rnacentral:rRNA from 1 species
GGAGUCUGGGCCGUAUCUCAGUCCCAAUGUGGCCGAUCACCCUCUCAGGCCGGCUACCGAUCGUCGCCUUGGUGGGCCGUUGCCCCGCCAACUAGCUAAUCGGACGCAAGCUCAUCCCAUACCGAUAAAUCUCUAGUCAGCCCUCCAUGCGGAAGGCCACUCUCCUGGACAUUAACCGCGCGUUGGCACGGGUAUUUCCUGAUAUGGGGCAGAUUGCUUACGCGUUACUCACCCGUUCGCCGCUCGGCAUUGCUGCCUCGCUCGACUUGCAUGUAUAAGACACGCCACCAGCGUUCGUU